UCUUAUUUAUUACCAUUUUAUCGAGGAAAAGAAGAAUCUAAAAAAAUAUAAACUCCAAGCAGCGACAUCAAACUAUAAACGGUUUCUCACGAUGCAUUUCUAUGAAAUAUUUCUCUCAAGUAACCGGUCAUAACCAUAACGCAAAAAAUGGUAAGAACUCGGAGUAAAUCUUUCCUAGCUAGAAAAGAGUUUAAGAGUUUCUAUUCUGCCGGACGAUUUGUUUUCCUACGUCCUGGUUGCUUCAGACCGGCCGAUUUACCUCCACCAAGUAUCGUUGCCGGUUCGCGUUUCACGUGUCGUUAACCAUGUCCCGCUUUCGACGAUUGUACAAGAUCCAACCUCUAUUAGAGACGUGCUUUUUUCGCGAACGAGUUGCCCGAUUAAUCGACCGGUGUUGGCCGGUCGUUCGAUAUCCAAGGGAAAAAUGGAACGGGCACGCAAUUCGUGAAAGACGAUUGUCCAUUUCGAAUGUGUUCUACGCGAGACACAUAAAAGGAAGACAAGUUUGAAAAUUUAGAUA